UACGUAGGGUGCGAGCGUUAAUCGGAAUUACUGGGCGUAAAGCGUGCGCAGGCGGUUUUGUAAGCCAGGUGUGAAAUCCCCGGGCUCAACCUGGGAAUGGCAUUUGGGACUGCAAGGCUGGAGUGCGGCAGAGGAGACUGGAAUUCCUGGUGUAGCAGCGAAAUGCGUAGAUAUCAGGAGGAAUACCGAUGGCGAAGGCAGGUCUCUGGGCCGUUACUGACGCUGAGGAGCGAAAGCGUGGGGAGCGAACAGG
rnacentral:rRNA from 1 species